CUCUGAUCACGGCAUGUGUCGGGGUGGGGCAUGCUCUGGGGGAAGUGUUGAGAGCAAGCAGGUGAGAAGAAUGGAUCAAGCAAGAGACAGUCAUGGGGCACAGGGUCUGGAGAGACCAUGUUUGUCCGCCAGCCACCCCCACGUGGUUAUUUAGGUGACUCUUUGACAGUACAAGCUGGCAUCAGGAUGACCUGCCUGACC
rnacentral:lncRNA from 1 species